AGACUGCCUGAGUCUUCUGACCUUCAUCUUUCCCCUGUGUUGGAUGCCUCCUGCCCUCAAACAUCAGACUCCAGGUUCUUCAGCUUUUGGACUCUUGGACCUACCCCCCGAGUGGUUUGCCAGGGGCUCUCAGGCCUUCGGCUACAGACUGAGGGCUGCAUUAUCAGCUUUCCUACUUUUGAGGUUUUGGGACUUUACUGGCUUUCUUGCUCCUCAACUUGCAGAUGGCCUGUUGUGGGACCUCACCUUGUGAUCAUGUGAGUCAAUACUCCUUAAUAAACUCCCUUUCAUAUAUGCAUCUAUCCUAUUAGUCCUGUCCUUCUAGAGAAUGCUAAUACAAUAUUUUUAAUUUUUAUAUCCCACAAUAAAACUCAGAAGUAGUUAAGUCAGGCUUAAAUGCAAGAGAACGGUUUAUAUUAAUUAUUGGCCAUAACCAACAAAAAAUUUCAGAAAAGUCAGUAUCAUCAUGCUGCCUUUAUCCAGCACUGAC
rnacentral:lncRNA from 1 species